AGUGAACGCUGGCGGUAGGCCUAACACAUGCAAGUCGAACGGCAGCACAGUAAGAUCUUGCUCUUACGGGUGGCGAGUGGCGGACGGGUGAGGAAUACAUCGGAAUCUACUUUUUCGGGGGGGAUAACGGAGGGAAACUUACACUAAUACCGCAUACGAUCUACGGGUGAAAGCAGGGGAUCUUCGGACCUUGCGCGAUUGAUUGAGCCGAUGUCGGAUUAGCUAGUUGGCUGGGUAAGGGCCCACCAAGGCGACGAUCCGUAGCUGGUCUGAGAGGAUGAUCAGCCACACUGGAACUGAGACACGGUCCAGACUCCUACGGGAGGCAGCAGUGGGGAAUAUUGGACAAUGGGCGCAAGCCUGAUCCAGCAAUACCGCGUGGGUGAAGAAGGUCUUCGGGUUGUAAAGCCCUUUUGUUAGGAAAGAAAAGCAGUAGGUUAAUACCCCGCUGUUCUGACGGUACCCAAAGAAUAAGCACCGGCUAACUUCGUG
rnacentral:rRNA from 1 species